rnacentral:lncRNA from 1 species
UUUUUUUGAGAUGGAGUCUUGCUCUGUCACCCAAGCUGGAGCACAGUGGCGCGAUGUCAGCUCACUGCAACCUCCGCCGCCAGGUUCAAGCAAUUUUCCUGCCUCAGCCUCCUGAAUAGUUAGGACUUGCGCACCAUCAUGUCCGGCUAAUUUUUUGUAUUUUUUAGUAGAGUUGGGGUUUCACCAUGCUGGCCAGGCUGGUCUUGAACUCCUGACCUUGGAUCUGCCCACUUUGGCCUCCCAAAAUGCUGGGAUUACAGGCAUAAGCCACUGCGCCUG